rfam:Candidatus Nomurabacteria bacterium CG1_02_43_90 cg1_0.2_scaffold_12120_c, whole genome shotgun sequence.
UUUUAAGAGAGUUUGAUCCUAGCUCAGGAUGAACGCUGGCGGCGUGGAUAAGGCAUGCAAGUAGAACGCCCCGCAAGGGGAGUUGCGAACGAGGUAGUAAUACAUAGGUACAAACCCCCGAGUCAGGAAUAACCUACCGAAAGGUAGGCUAAUACUUGAUAGUCCCGUAAGGGUAAAGAUUUAUCGCUUGGGGAUUGGCCUGUGGAGUAUCAGCUAGUUGGUAGGGUAAUGGCCUACCAAGGCUAUGACGCUUAGGGGAGGUGAGAGCCUGGCCCCCACCGAUGGUACUGCGACACGGACCAUACACCUACGGGUGGCUGCAGUCGAGAAUCUUCCGCAAUGGACGCAAGUCUGACGGAGCGACGCCGCGUGAUUGAAGAAGUCUUUCGGGAUGUAAAGAUCUUUUAUGUGGGAGAAAAUUUUGAUAGUACCACAUGAAUAAGGGGUUGCUAAACUCGUGCCAGCAGCAGCGGUAAUACGAGUACCCCGAGCGUUAUCCGGAAUUAUUGGGCGUAAAGGGUGUGUAGGCGGUUAUGUUAGUCUUUUGUCAAAGCCUUCGGCUCAACCGGAGAAUUGCGGGAGAAACGGCAUAACUAGAGAGUGUGAGAGGUUUGCGGAACUCAUGGUGUAGGGGUGAAAUCCGUUGAUAUCAUGGGGAACACCAAAAGCGAAGGCAGCAAACUGGCACAUUUCUGACGCUGAAACACGAAAGCGUAGGUAGCGAAUGGGAUUAGAUACCCCAGUAGUCUACGCCCUAAACGAUGAUCUCUAGCUUUUCGGAGUAUCGACCCUCUGAGAGGCGAAGCUAACGCGUUAAGAGAUCCGCCUGGGAAGUACGACCGCAAGGUUAAAACUCAAAGGAAUAGACGGGGACUUGCACAAGCGGUGGAUCAGGUGGCUUAAUUCGAUGGUAAACGAAGAACCUCACCAGGGUUUGAAACCCAUAAGAAAGACCAAGGAAACUUGGUAACUCCGCAAGGACUUAUGGGCAGGUGAUGCAUGGCCGUCGUCAGUUCGUGGUUUGAACUGUCCCCUUAAGUGG